rnacentral:rRNA from 1 species
UACAGAGGGUGCGAGCGUUUAAUCGGAAUUACUGGGCGUAAAGCGUGCGUAGACGGCUAUCUAAGUCGGGUGUGAAAGCCCCGGGCUCAACCUGGGAAUUGCAUUCGAGACUGAAUAGCUAGGGUACGGUAGAGGGAAGUGGAAUUUCCGGUGUAGCGGUGAAAUGCGCAGAUAUCAGGAGGAACACCAAUGGCGAAGGCAGCUCGCUGGGACGGUACUGACGCUGAGACGCGAAAGCGUGGGGAGCAAACAGG